rnacentral:rRNA from 1 species
UACGUAGGUGGCAAGCGUUACUCGGAAUCACUAGGCGUAAAGCGCAGGUAGGCGGUGCGGAAAGUCCGUUGUGAAAGCUCCCGGCUUAACUGGGAGAGGUCAACGGAAACUGCCGUGCUAGAGUGUGGUAGAGGUAGCUGGAAUUCCCGGUGUAGCGGUGAAAUGCGUAGAUAUCGGGAGGAAUACCUAUGGCGAAAGCAGGCUACUGGACCAUCACUGACGCUGAUCUGCGAAAGCUAGGGGAGCAAACAGG